rnacentral:rRNA from 1 species
UACGUAGGGUGCAAGCGUUAAUCGGAAUUACUGGGCUUAAAGCGCACGCAGGCGGUCUGUUAAGUCAGAGGUGAAAUCACCGGGCUUAACCUGGGAACUGCAUUUGAAACUGGCAGGCUUGAGUCUCGUAGAGGGGGGUAGAAUUCCAGGUGUAGCGGUGAAAUGCGUAGAGAUCUGGAGGAAUACCGGUGGCGAAGGCGGCCCACUGGACGAUGACUGACGCUCAGGUGCGAAAGCGUGGGGAGCAAACAGG